CAAUAGCGUAUAUUUAAGUUGUUGCAGUUAAAAAGCUCGUAGUCGGAUUUUGGCUGAGAACGAUCGGUCCGCCGUUAGGUGUGCACUGAUUGGUCUCAGCUUCCUGGUGAGGAGGUGUGCUUCACGGCCACUUAGUCACCGUGGUUACUUUGAAAAAAUUAGAGUGUUCAAAGCGGGCUUACGCUUGAAUAUAUUAGCAUGGAAUAACACCAUAGGACUCCUGUCCUAUUUCGUUGGUCUCGGGACGGGAGUAAUGAUUAAGAGGAACAGUUGGGGGCAUUCGUAUUUCAUUGUCAGAGGUGAAAUUCUUGGAUUUAUGAAAGACAAACUGCUGCGAAAGCGUCUGCCAAGGAUGUUUUCAUUGA
rnacentral:rRNA from 1 species